rnacentral:pre_miRNA from 1 species
AAGUCGGCUUUUAUUGCGCUCUGAGAAAAACCAAUUCAUUGCUUUUUUUAUUUAUCUGAGAUCGCGAUUAAAGCUGGUUU